UUUGCACAAAUGAGAAACCAAGAAGAUUAGAUAUGAUUGUAUCUUUUUAUUUGGCAAUACCUUAGCAAACUUAUUCACCUAUGCUAUCAUUCCUCAAUUCCUAAACCAACUUUUAUAAUUGCUACUAUACAUUAGUGAUUAGCAAAGGUACAUUUCCAGUAUGAGUGGAGGCAGAAAUAAUGGAGGUAGAGGUGGUGGAGGUAGAGGUGGUGGAGGUAGAGGUGGUGGUGACAGAGCAGAAGGGAGCCGUGGUAAUAUUGUAGUUCCAAGAGGUGGAGGAAGAGGAGGUGGUGGAGGAGGUGGUAGAGGAGGAGGAGGAGGAGGAGGUCCAAGAGUGAUCAUAAGAACAACUGAAAUAGUAAUAUCAAGAAACAAAUCAAAAUAACAUUCAACCUAUAAAGCACCAGACCUUUUAUUUUCUAAUAUGCUGUAUUUAACAAAGAACUGUAGUAUAGCUAAAUAGUGUUAUUAAAGAACAAUGAACUCUUUUGAGAA